rnacentral:rRNA from 1 species
AUUGAACGCUGGCGGCAUGCCUUACACAUGCAAGUCGAACGGCAGCACGGGAGCAAUCCUGGUGGCGAGUGGCGAACGGGUGAGUAAUACAUCGGAACGUGCCCAGUUGUGGGGGAUAGCCCGGCGAAAGCCGGAUUAAUACCGCAUACGACCUGAGGGUGAAAGCGGGGGACCGUGCAAGGGCCUCGCGCAGUUGGAGCGGCCGAUGUCAGAUUAGCUAGUGGUGGGGUAAAGGGACGUCACCAAGGCGACGAUCUGUAGCUGGUCUGAGAGGACGACCAGCCACACUGGGACUGAGACACGGCCCAGACUCCUACGGGAGGCAGCAGUGGGGAAUUUUGGUACAAUGGGCGCAAGCCUGAUCCAGCCAUGCCGCGUGUGGGAAGAAGGCCUU